UCAAAAAUGUCAUAGUAUAGUAAGUUGUCAAAAAUGGUCAAAAAAUGUCAUAGUAUAGUAAGGUGUCAAAAUUGGUCAAAAAAUGUCAUAGUAUAGUAAGGUGUCAAAAAUGGUCAAAAAAUGUCAUAGUAUAGUAAGGUGUCAAAAUUGGUCAAAAAAUGUCAUAGUAUAGUAAGGGGUCAAAAACGGUCAAAAAAUGUCAUAGUAUAGUAAGAUGUCAAAAUUGGUCAAA